rnacentral:rRNA from 1 species
GCGGCGACGGGUGAGGAACACGUGAGAAAUCUGCCUUCAACUCUGGGAUAACUCCGGGAAACCGGGGCUAAUACCGGAUAUGAAACCUUCAGGCAUCUGAGGGUUUGGAAAGUUUUUCGGUUGAAGAUGAUCUCGCGGCCUAUCAGCUUGUUGGUGAGGUAAUGGCUCACCAAGGCGACGACGGGUAGCCGGCCUGAGAGGGCGACCGGCCACACUGGGACUGAGACACGGCCCAGACUCCUACGGGAGGCAGCAGUGGGGAAUAUUGGGCAAUGGAGGAAACUCUGACCCAGCGACGCCGCGUGCGGGAUGAAGGCCUUCGGGUUGUAAACCGCUUUCAGCAGGGAAGAAGCGAAAGUGACGGUACCUGCAGAAGAAGCACCGGCUAACUAUGUGCCAGCAGCCGCGGUAAUACAUAGGGUGCAAGCGUUGUCCGGAAUUAUUGGGCGUAAAGAGCUCGUAGGUGGUUCGUCACGUCGGAUGUGAAACUCUGGGGCUUAACCCCAGACCUGCAUUCGAUACGGGCGAGCUUGAGUAUGGUAGGGGAGUCUGGAAUUCCUGGUGUAGCGGUGGAAUGCGCAGAUAUCAGGAGGAACACCAAUGGCGAAGGCAGGACUCUGGGCCAUUACUGACACUGAGGAGCGAAAGCGUGGGGAGCGAACAGGAUUAGAUACCCUGGUAGUCCACGCCGUAAACGGUGGGCACUAGUUGUGGGGACCUUCCACGGUCUCUGCGACGCAGCUAACGCAUUAAGUGCCCCGCCUGGGGAGUACGAUCGCAAGAUUAAAACUCAAAGGAAUUGACGGGGCCCCGCACAAGCAGCGGAGCAUGCGGCUUAAUUCGACGCAACGCGAAGAACCUUACCAAGGCUUGACAUA